GACGAACGCUGGCGGCGUGCUUAACACAUGCAAGUCGAACGGUGAAGCGACCAGCUUGCUGCUUCUGUAUUAGUGGCGAACGGGUGAGUAACACGUGAGUAACCUACCUCCUUCUUCUGGAUAACCUCAGGAAACUGUGGCUAAUACGGGAUAUUCUUUUUCUGCCCCUUGUCGGACCCUGGAAAGCUAUUUUUCCGUCCGUUGAUGGUCUCGCGGCCUAUCAGUUGGUUGGUGGUGUGAUGGCCUAUCAAGGCGGCGACGGUGAGCCGCCCUGAUAGGGUGGAAGGUCAGACUGGGAAUGAGACACAGACCAGAAUGCUACGGGAGGCAGCAGUGGGGAAUAUUGCACAAUGGGCGCAAGCCUGAUGCAGCGACGCCGCGUGAGGGAGGGAGGCCAUCGGGUUGUAAUCCUAUUUCGCAAGUGAAGCAGGCCUGCUCAUUGUGGGUGGGUUGACGGUAGCUGGAUAAGAAGCGCCGGCUAACUACGUG
rnacentral:rRNA from 1 species